rnacentral:rRNA from 1 species
GCUGGUUCUCCCCGAAAGCUAUUUAGGUAGCGCCUCGUGAAUUCAUCUCCGGGGGUAGAGCACUGUUUCGGCAAGGGGGUCAUCCCGACUUACCAACCCGAUGCAAACUGCGAAUACCGGAGAAUGUUAUCACGGGAGACACACGGCGGGUGCUAACGUCCGUCGUGAAGAGGGAAACAACCCAGACCGCCAGCUAAGGUCCCAAAGUCAUGGUUAAGUGGGAAACGAUGUGGGAAGGCCCAGACAGCCAGGAUGUUGGCUUAGAAGCAGCCAUCAUUUAAAGAAAGCGUAAUAGCUCACUGGUCGAGUCGGCCUGCGCGGAAGAUGUAACGGGGCUAAACCAUGCACCGAAGCUGCGGCAGCGACGCUUAUGCGUUGUUGGGUAGGGGAGCGUUCUGUAAGCCUGCGAAGGUGUACUGUGAGGUAUGCUGGAGGUAUCAGAAGUGCGAAUGCUGACAUAAGUAACGAUAAAGCGGGUGAAAAGCCCGCUCGCCGGAAGACCAAGGGUUCCUGUCCAACGUUAAUCGGGGCAGGGUGAGUCGACCCCUAAGGCGAGGCCGAAAGGCGUAGUCGAUGGGAAACAGGUUAAUAUUCCUGUACUUGGUGUUACUGCGAAGGGGGGACGGAGAAGGCUAUGUUGGCCGGGCGACGGUUGUC